CCUACGGGAGGCAGCAGUGGGGAAUAUUGGGCAAUGGAGGAAACUCUGACCCAGCCACGCCGCGUGAAUGAUGAAGGUCCCCGGAGUGUAAAGUUCCUUUUUUCGGGAAGAAGAACGUGCCGCUCCCUUAGUUAUAAGCCUCGGCUAACUACGUGCCAGCAGUCGCUGCAAUCCGUAGGGGGCGAGCGUUAUCCGGGAUGACUGGGCGUAAAGGGUGCGUGGGUGGUCUGGCAAGUUAGUAGCGAAACUCCCAGGCUCAACCUUGGAAGUACUACUAAAACUGUUGGACUUGAGAGCGCGAGAGGCAAGCGGAAUGCCUGGUGUAGCGGUGGAAUGCAUAGAUAUUAGGAAGAACACCAGUGGCGAAGGCAGGUUACUGGACUGGAACUGACGCUGAGGCACGAAAGCGUGGGGAGCGAACAGGAUUAGAUACCCUUGUAGUC
rnacentral:rRNA from 1 species